rnacentral:rRNA from 1 species
AGGACGAACGCUGGCGGCGUGCUUAACACAUGCAAGUCGAGCGGAAAGGCCCUUCGGGGUACUCGAGCGGCGAACGGGUGAGUAACACGUGAGUAACCUGCCCCUAGCUCUGGGAUAGCUCCGGGAAACCGGGAUUAAUACCAGAUACGACCACUUUAGACAUCUGUCGUGGUGGAAAGGAUUCCGGCUAGGGAUGGGCUCGCGGCCUAUCAGCUUGUUGGUGGGGUAACGCCUACCAAGGCGACGACGGGUAGCCGGCCUGAGAGGGCGACCGGCCACACUGGGACUGAGACACGGCCCAGACUCCUACGGGAGGCAGCAGUGGGGAAUAUUGCGCAAUGGGCGAAAGCCUGACGCAGCGACGCCGCGUGGGGAUGAAGGCCUUCGGGUUGUAAACCCUUUCAGCAGGGACGAAGCGAAAGUGACGGUACCUGCAGAAGAAGCGCCGGCUAACUACGCGCCAGCAGCCGC